AAACUGCGGGUGGGUGCAAUACCACUGUUUCACUAUGAAUAACUUAGAAUACAAUGAGUAUGAGAGCUUAUAAUUAAGAGUAGAGUGCGUAAGUAAUGUGUAGCUACUGAGUACAAGGACUAUGCUAUUUAUAGGGCUAAUUAUGAAUAUUAAACCCUAGCUAGAGGGCUGUUGAGAGCAAGCAACAACUUCCCUAAAAUGUAGGACAGUUGUUGUUAGACUAAGUCUUGGACUUAUCUCUUCGUUGUGGAAUUAUCUGGAUGGAAUUUGAAUUAUCCUUACUGGAUGUGUUGUUGGAAAAUAGCCAUGGUAUCAUUGUGAGUAUUUAUCUCUUCCUUGUCUUUCGCCAAGUUGGUUACAAGAUCAUCAGUCGCCCUCCAUCGUCGUGUGACGUGUCGGACGUCAAGUCGUGCCCUAAUUUUGACCAUAACAGUUUGCCGCUGAUUGUUGACUUGAUCGUGGGUAACUCAAGGGAACAAUCUUAACUUCCCAUUAUCCCACUAACAAUUUGAACUUAACCGCAUUAACUCCUCACCUAACUCUUGCAUAAAUAACCGUGCCCCCUUUCUUUUCCACUUCUACACUCUUCCUAAAUCCUUGCAUUUUCUUUCUACAAAAAAUCCCCAAAUUCAUUCAAUCUUCCUGGAUUCUUCUGGUGCUUCGAGCUUUGACAACGAAUUCAGGCCAAUUUCAUCAGGUAAAUUCCAUACUUUGACUCAAUUUCUUUUUAAUUUGUUACUUGCGUAUGUCUGGCAAGCCGAAUUUGCCUUCAACGAACUAGGUUUUCGUUUAGAGUUUUGGAAAGAGGUGAGAGUAAAGUUGUUGGUGAUAUGGCGGACAAUGAUGAUCCUCUUAGUGACUUUGUAGAGGAAGACGUGGCGUCCUUUGUUGCUUUGGCAGGGAUGCCGCAGUGCACCGUAGUGCAGGUGCCUUCUGAGAAGGAGAGGCCGGAAGACUGCCCUCACAGACACAUCGUACUGUAUGAGUACCUUUUAGGUUGGGGUACACCUUUCAAUUUGGUCCCCUGUCACGAUCUUUGAUGGGAGUCUUGGACUUAAGUCUAGGACAAGUGAUGCCUCAAUUUUGGAGGAUAGCUCAUGUCAUCGAAAAGGUGACCAAAGAUUGGGGUGAAUCUUUCGACCUGUCAGAUCACUAAGAAGAAUAGGUGUACCUUAGUACUGAAGAAAGGACAUCCUGCUCUGGUCGAGAGAGCUGGGAAGGUGAAUGAUCGUGGCUGGAAGUCGCGUUACUUGUUUGUUGAUAAGGAAUCUUUGGGGGAAGAGGCUAGCUGGAUGCGCUGUGGUUGGCAUGACGGAGGUAUUCCUUAUGUCUCUCGUCGCUUCUUUACUUUAGUUUGUUGACGUGUGUUCUUAUGGCUUGCUUUGUUGCAGAAAUUGACGUCGCCGUCGUGACUCAUGGAAGGAAGAGUUUGCGCAAAGUAGAGGUUGUGCUAAGCAUUACUAAGGAAGAUCGGACGUCGUGCGCCCUGUCGUAGUUAAAGAGGUUGAGGAAGAAGGAGGCGACAAGCAGGAGAUGGCUUCUGAAACAUAAUCUGGUAAGACCAAGAGAGUUGUGAUGUCUUUCGACGAGAUGGUGGAACGCGCAGCCAAGAAAAAGAAGCAGACUGCUUUUGAUGAGUCGGACAUCAAGGUUUUAAACGUCAAACCUCUUCAGAUAUGCACGUCUCCUCGUGCUAAGGAGAUACCGCCCAAGGCACCCAAGGAGUCUGACUAAGUGCUGCGAGUUCCAGCUGAUUUCCUUUCUAGGACUUCCAUGUCGACUUCCCUUUGGCCUUCUGCUGAAAAGUUGUGGUGCUGAAAAACGUUUGGAGAAGAUGACGCCUGCUAGCAUUGUUAGUGAAGCGGUGUCGCUUCAGCUGAAUGCCUUGUAGGAUUUGUUGGCGGUGCGUGGCCACUUUAUUUCUGGGGAGAAAGAGAUGAAUGAUCUUCAUGUCUAUGUCGGCACUAUCAGGAAUCAACUUCGCGCUGCUGAGGGAGAGGCGACCAAGCUGAAGAAGGCCUUAGGGGAGAAAGAGAAGCAGGUCUCUAAGCUGAACGCUUCGCUGGAGGAGAAGAGCAAGCAAGUUUUGGAGCUGGAGGCGUCUUUAGUUGAGGUUUGCGAAGAUGCGCAGAAAUCCAAGUGCCUCGACCAGCUGACUGUUUGUGCCAAGAUGCUGAAGCGCUUCCUCGAUGGUCGUCUAACUGUUGAGGAUGCUCAAAAGGAGGUGAAUGUCUUUCUGACGUCCCUUGUCACUGAGGCUGAUCUGGUCUCUGAUGUUGGGGCUCCUGAGUAGGACAUCAACUCUACAGCGGAUUCACAAGAGAAGGUCGACGGUGCAGCUCCUGAUGCUACUAUUGGGAUUGCUAUUGAGGUUGCUGCUAGGCCGACGCUUCUGUUGGUGAUGGAGUUAAUGCUGAUGAUGCUUAACUUUUGUCGUCUUUGCCUUUUGUCGUACUGUUGAAUUUUCUUUUGCCUCGAACUAUUUCUGUUUUGAUGUACCUUUUACUGAUCGUCGUGGGACGAUCAGGUUUGUUUCUUAUUUUCGAAGUACUUUGUACAAUUUCCUUUUGUAAUCGUCUUUACUGGUUGUCGUGGGACAGUCAAUCUUUUGUACAAAUGCUUGUGGAUCCUGCAAACUUUGCGCAAUGCAUGAAAAAUAUCUUGGGUUUUAUUGCA